rnacentral:rRNA from 1 species
UGCGUAGGCGGAUUAAUAAGUCAGUGGUGAAAUCUUUCGGCUCAACCGAGAAACUGCCAUUGAUACUGUUAAUCUUGAGUUCGGUUGAGGUAGGCGGAACGUGUAAUGUAGCGGUGAAAUGCUUAGAUAUUACACAGAACACCAAUUGCGUAGGCAGCUUACUAGACCGACACUGACGCUGAGGCACGAAAGCGUGGGGAGCGAACAGGAUUAGAUACCCUGGUAGUCC